UACGUAGGGUGCAAGCGUUGUCCGGAAUUAUUGGGCGUAAAGAGCUCGUAGGCGGUCUGUCGCGUCGGCUGUGAAAACUCGGGGCUCAACUCCGAGCUUGCAGUCGAUACGGGCAGACUAGAGGUAUGCAGGGGAGAACGGAAUUCCUGGUGUAGCGGUGAAAUGCGCAGAUAUCAGGAGGAACACCGGUGGCGAAGGCGGUUCUCUGGGCAUUACCUGACGCUGAGGAGCGAAAGUGUGGGGAGCGAACAGG
rnacentral:rRNA from 1 species